rnacentral:lncRNA from 1 species
UAUUUGGUUGUCACUCGUAGCAUUGGUGUUGGUGUCACAGAUUCAAGAAUGUGUGAGUAUUUGGUGUUACUCCUGCCAUUCUUUCAGCGAACCAGCAUGUGGAGAUGAGUUCCGGUUGGGAAGUGGUAACCAUCAAGCACGCUCUCAGUGUGAUGGCCCCUCGUCAUGUGUAAAACGACGAGGGAAGAGAAAAUAUUCUGAAGGAGUAAGCAAAGUUGAAGUAGAAAGGACUUGCAUUCCCCGUCGCCCAGAGGGAUGUUACACAGAAAGUAAAUAUGGUAUAGAACAAUAUUCAUGCUCCUGCAACUCAAAUUUCUGCAAUUCUUCUCCGAGAAUCAUCUCAAAGAGUACAAAUACAAUUUUGUUGUCUGUCGUUUUUACAUCGCUUUUAUACCUUGGACAGAAACAUUUGUUUUCAUGGCAUUAAGACUGAAGAAUUGUCAAUGUCAUUCCAGUAUCAUAGUGGCCAACUCUUACGAAAAAAAGUUAUUUGAUAUGUUUUUGAGUGUUUGAAGUUUGAGUAUGGACGUCUGUUUUUGUAUACAAAAAUAUUUAUUCUCCAUUUUUUUGUAUUGCUUCUCAUGGACUUUCCAAUACUGAAGAAAAAUUAUGAACUUUCAAGACCUGAUUUAUGAAUAGGCCUAAUAAUGAGAACAAAGCCCAGAAGCAGUUUGCAGCUGUGUCCCUUAUCAUAGUUCGCUAUUGAGCAUAAAUUUAUUGAAUGCAGAAAAGUGUGUGAAGGGUUUUGAGUGGGGAUACUUGGCUAAUGGCGACCGUCUUAACCAGCCACAUGGGUAGAGCUUUUUUUUCCUUCCAAGUGGGAAGCUAUGCAGUGAAGUUAGACCUGAGGUGUCUCGAAAACAGUACACUCACAAGGUAAAGGCCUACUUCAGCCCUCCAUGCGGAACUUGCAUGACCUUUUGUGCAAAUCCAGGUUUCCACUCUCUGUGGAGCGAACAUGGUGGUAGCCGUGACAUCAAGCCCUAAAGAUGAUUUUAACUUAUUUUACGAUUGGGGAGGGAUGUGGUCUAGAUUUAUUUUAACUGGUUUUUCUUGUGCUUUUAAGAUUUGAUCAAUUUGAGUCCUCCAUUUGCCCCUAAUAAAAUAAUGGGAUUGUUUGACACCAUUACUUUUGGGAUAAAUUUUGCUGUACUGCACAAUGAGCAAGGAUAUUGUGGGCAUAGCUGUGACCCUGACUUUAAUGUUUUGGUGACACGACUGUCGUGCUAUAUCUGUGAUCAUUGUUACGCAAGACUUAGGCUUGUCGCUAUUAUACUGAGAACUCUUUGUACCGCUGCUGAUCAACAAGUGCCUUAUAGUCUCUUAAAUUUUGCUUCCUUCCUCCUGGGAAGUACUUUGGUCACUGACAUAACAGCGCAAGUAGAAAUCUAAUCUAAAGCGCAUGUUUCUUUAUCUACUUAACAUUACGCAUCCAUGUAAUAUUUGAUGAUUUCAAAGUUGUCUUGCUUUUUAUGGGCAGUUGUCGCAUCCACUUGUAAGAUUAUGUAGUACAAACAUAUAUCAAAAUGUGAGGCAUCAUGGUGAAAUCAUUCGCGUGUCAAAACAAUUAAAUCGAA